rnacentral:rRNA from 1 species
AGAGUUUGAUCAUGGCUCAGGAUGAACGCUGGCGGCGUGCCUAAUACAUGCAAGUCGAGCGGUAAGGUCACUUCGGUGAUACACGAGCGGCGGACGGCAGAGUAACACGUAGGAACGUACCCCGAACUGAGGGAUAAGCACCAGAAAUGGUGUCUAAUACCGCAUGUGCUCCUUGGAGUAAAGCUCCGGCGGUUUGGGAA